GGACUGAGUGUUGUGGUGCUUGAGGCAAGAGACAGAGUUGGAGGCAGAAUACAUACUAUAAGAAACAAAGAAGUUCAGUAUGUGGAUGUUGGUGGGGCCUAUGUGGGACCGACUCAAAAUCGCAUUCUACGCGUAGCAAAAGAGCUAGGUUUAAAAACCUACAAAGUGAAUGUGUCACAACGAGUUAUCCAUCAUGUUAGGG